rnacentral:rRNA from 1 species
AUGGAUUCCAAGGGGGUCGCCGCCUUCGACGUCGUCCUCCAUGACGGCUCGCCCAACGUCGGCGGCGCGUGGGCGCAGGAGGCCACCGCGCAGUCCGCGCUCGUCAUCGACGCCGUCCGCCUGGCCACCGCGUUCCUCGCCCCCAAUGGCACCUUCGUCACCACCAAGGUCUUCAGGUCUCAGGAUUACAGCGCCAUCAUGUUCUGCCUGAAGCAGCUGUUUGAAAAGGUCGAGGUGACUAAACCUAGAGCGAGUCGUGGCACAUCGGCUGAAAUUUACAUCAUCUGCCUGAAGUACAAAGCCCCUGCAAAGAUUCAACCAGAGCUUCUUGAUAUCAAGCACCUGUUCAGUGUGGAUCCAGAGAAGAGCAUGCCUACGGAUGUACUUGAUCCUAAGAGUGCAAAGAAGAGAACUCGUGGCGGGUAUGCGCCUGGAGUCACGGUACUGGAGAAAGUUGGUCUGGCAUCAGAUUUUAUAUGGUCUGAAGUGCAGAAACCACGGGAUUUUCUGGGUUCUUUCACUAAGAUUUCAUUUGAUGAUCCUGCAUCUAUGCCUAUCAAGAACCAUGAGCUCACCACAGAUGAGGUCAAAUACCUUUGCGAGGAUUUGCAGGUGCUGGAUAAAAAUAGUUUCAAGCAUAUCUUGAAGUGGCGCACACGCAUAAGGAAAGCCCUGCCGUCAUAUUCGCAAGUUACACCAAAGGCUGAUGGUGCUGCGACGGACACCAAGGUCAAAGAUGAUGUUCAGCUUUUACAGGAAAUGGAAGAAAUGGAUUCUGAUGAAGAACACGGACUGGAGGAGAUGCUUGAUGAAGCUUAUGAGCGUUAUGUGACAAAAAAGGGUGAAGAAGUAAAACAAGAACACAAACGUGCCAAGCGAAUCGAUCCUGAUGCUGAUGCAGGUUUGUUAGAGGGAGGUGAAGAUGAUGGUGGUGACAUUGGCAUGGAUCAAGGUUCUAAUGAAGAUCAAGACCAAGAGACCAGCCCCCUUUUAUUAUGUCUAGAUACAGAGAAGCCAACAGAAGAGCAAGAUUGUAAAGCAGUGGUUCAGUCAGGAUGUGUUCGCAGAAGCAGGGAGAAGGGAAGGGGUGGCAAAGGAGGCGCCAAGGGAGGGGAAGGAAAGAUGGGUGCCGCCGGCCAGAAGAAAGGGGGCAUGCGAGGGAAAGCUAGGAAGAAGGCCGGCGGCAGAGCCCUGCAUUGA